UCAACGGAGAGUUUGAUCCUGGCUCAGGAUGAACGCUGGCGGCGUGCUUAACACAUGCAAGUCGAACGAUGAUGCCCACUUGUGGGUGGAUUAG
rnacentral:rRNA from 1 species